rnacentral:rRNA from 1 species
GGAAUAUUGCGCAAUGGAGGAAACUCUGACGCAGUGACGCCGCGUAUAGGAAGAAGGUUUUCGGAUUGUAAACUAUUGUCGUUAGGGAAGAUAAAAGACUGUACCUAAGGAGGAAGCCCCGGCUAACUAUGUGCCAGCAGCCGCGGUAAUACAUAGGGGGCAAGCGUUAUCCGGAUUUACUGGGUGUAAAGGGAGCGUAGGCGGUCUGCCAAGUCUGAUGUGAAAACCCGGGGCUCAACCCCGGGAGUGCAUUGGAAACUGGCGGACUGGAGUGUCGGAGAGGUAAGCGGAAUUCCUAGUGUAGCGGUGAAAUGCGUAGAUAUUAGGAGGAACACCAGUGGCGAAGGCGGCUUACUGGACGAUAACUGACGCUGAGGCUCGAAAGCGUGGGGAGCA